rnacentral:rRNA from 1 species
UUUUGACACAGGGGGGUAGUGACAAGAAAUAACAAUACGGGGCUUAAAGUCUUGUAAUUGGAAUGAUGGGAAUUUAAACCUCUUCCAGAGUAUCAAUUGGAGGGCAAGUCUGGUGCCAGCAGCCGCGGUAAUUCCAGCUCCAAUAGCGUAUAUUAAAAUUGUUGCAGUUAAAAAGCUCGUAGUUGAAUUUCUGCUGCAUUGCUUGUGUCCCUCUGGGGUCUGUGCAUGUGGCUUUUUUCGGACGGAGUUUCUUUGUCUGAAUGUUUACUUUGAGAAAAUUAGAGUGCUCAAAGCAGGCUUUCGCCUUGAAUAGUUUAGCAUGGAAUAAUAAAGUAGGACUUUGGUUCUAUUUUGUUGGUUUUAGGUACCAAAGUAAUGGUUAAUAGGAACAGUGGGGCAUCAGUA